rnacentral:rRNA from 1 species
CCUACGGCGUCAGCAGUGGGGAAUAUUGGACAAUGGGCGAAAGCCUGAUCCAGCCAUGCCGCGUGUGUGAAGAAGGCCUUCGGGUUGUAAAGCACUUUCAGUGGGGAAGAAAGCCUUGGGGCUAAUACCCUCGAGGAAGGACAUCACCCACAGAAGAAGCACCGGCUAACUCCGUGCCAGCAGCCGCGGUAAUACGGAGGGUGCGAGCGUUAAUCGGAAUUACCGGGCGUAAAGCGCGCGUAGGCGGUCUGAUAAGCCGGUUGUGAAAGCCCCGGGCUCAACCUGGGAACGGCAUCCGGAACUGUCAGGCUAGAGUGCAGGAGAGGAAGGUAGAAUUCCCGGUGUAGCGGUGAAAUGCGUAGAGAUCGGGAGGAAUACCAGUGGCGAAGGCGGCCUUCUGGACUGACACUGACGCUGAGGUGCGAAAGCGUGGGUAGCAAACAGGAUUAGAUACCCCAGUAGUC